GAUGAACGCUAGCUACAGGCUUAACACAUGCAAGUCGAGGGGCAGCAUGGUCUUAGCUUGCUAAGGCCGAUGGCGACCGGCGCACGGGUGAGUAACGCGUAUCCAACCUGCCUUACACUCUUGGACAGCCUUCUGAAAGGGAGAUUAAUACAAGAUGUUAUCAUGAGUAAGCAUUUUCGCAUGAUUAAAGGUUUACCGGUGUAAGAUGGGGAUGCGUUCCAUUAGAUAGUAGGCGGGGUAACGGCCCACCUAGUCUUCGAUGGAUAGGGGUUCUGAGAGGAAGGUCCCCCACAUUGGAACUGAGACACGGUCCAAACUCCUGCGGGAGGCAGCAGUGAGGAAUAUUGGUCAAUGGACGAGAGUCUGAACCAGCCAAGUAGCGUGAAGGAUGAAGGUUCUAUGGAUUGUAAACUUCUUUUAUACGGGAAUAAACGAAUCCACGCGUGGAUUUUUGCAUGUACCGUAUGAAUAAGGAUCGGCUAACUCCGUGCCAGCAGCCGCGGUAGUACGGAGGAUCCGAGCGUUAUCCGGAUUUAUUGGGUUUAAAGGGAGCGUAGAUGGGUUGUUAAGUCAGUUGUGAAAGUUUGCGGCUCAACCGUAAAAUUGCAAUUGAUACUGGCAGUCUUGAGUACAGUUGAGGUAGGCGGAAUUCGUGGUGUAGCGGUGAAAUGCUUAGAUAUCACGAAGAACUCCGAUUGCGAAGGCAGCUUACUAACCUGUAACUGACAUUGAUGCUCGAAAGUGUGGGUAUCAAACAGGAUUAGAUACCCUGGUAGUCCACACGGUAAACGAUGAAUACUCGCUGUAGGCGAUAUACAGUCUGCGGCCAAGCGAAAGCAUUAAGUAUUCCACCUGGGGAGUACGCCGGCAACGGUGAAACUCAAAGGAAUUGACGGGGGCCCGCACAAGCGGAGGAACAUGUGGUUUAAUUCGAUGAUACGCGAGGAACCUUACCCGGGCUUAAAUUGCAACCGAAUAUGGCGGAAACGCUAUAGCUAGCAAUAGCGGUUGUGAAGGUGCUGCAUGGUUGUCGUCAGCUCGUGCCGUGAGGUGUCGGCUUAAGUGCCAUAACGAGCGCAACCCUUGCCGAUAGUUACUAACAGGUUAUGCUGAGGACUCUGUCGGGACUGCCAUCGUAAGAUGUGAGGAAGGUGGGGAUGACGUCAAAUCAGCACGGCCCUUACGUCCGGGGCCACACACGUGUUACAAUGGGGGGUACAGAGGGCUGCUACCACGCAAGUGGAUGCCAAUCCCAAAAACCUCUCUCAGUUCGGAUUGAAGUCUGCAACCCGACUUCAUGAAGCUGGAUUCGCUAGUAAUCGCGCAUCAGCCACGGCGCGGUGAAUACGUUCCCGGGCCUUGUACACACCGCCCGUCAAGCCAUGGGAGCCGGGGGCACCUGAAGUGCGUAACCGCAAGGAGCGCCCUAGGGUAAAACUG
rnacentral:rRNA from 1 species